rnacentral:misc_RNA from 1 species
CUUGCCGCCAUCUUCGACGAUGACGUAAUCGAGAAGCUCGAUAUCGCCCAUCUCCGGAUCGACCGCGACGACCGCAAUGUGGGAGGCGUAGCUGAACGUGCCGGAGUCACGCACCGGNNCACUUCGAGGCCGCGCGGAUCGACCGAAGGUGGAAGAUCCUGCGGGCGGCGAUACCAGGUGUAGGCGACUUCUUGCAGGGUGACGCUGCCGUUCGGUCCGACCACGGCGCCGUCGCUGAGCUUUACGUUGCUGAUAUCGGUCUGCAGCAGAUGCGCGCCGAUUCCGAGUGCGAGCUUGCCGAGUUCGCGCGACGCCGUCGCGACCGCGCCGCCGGCCAUCACCGCACAGCGCGAUCCCCAGCG